ensembl:piRNA 21ur-179 ncRNA
UAGUAUUUCUUCCUCUGAUUC